AAUGAAGGCACACCUUUUCAAACAUCAAUGAACUUUUAUUUGUAGAGAAUAUUUAACACUGGAACUGGAAGACAUUUUAAAUAUCCACAAAAAAUGAAC